rnacentral:lncRNA from 1 species
UCCAGAAAUGGCCAUUUUAAUGCAGAAAACCAUGAGAAUUUACAAAUGAGUCACUUUUUGGGCCAGAGCCAGGAGGCCGUGAGGGCAGAGAGGAGGUGGCGGCCGUUGAGAAGCUGGGGCCAUGAGCUCAGCACCUUCACGACCCCUCCGACCCAGGCCCUCGUGUGCCCGGGCGAGCCCUGGAGGUCCCCCGGCCCCUGCCCCUUAGCGCCCACUAAUUUCCUAGUGGGAAGACCUUGGGUCAGCUUUAGGACAGAAGGUAGACAAAUCUUGGAAAUGAGGGCCUGGAGGGCACAAGGCAGGAGUCUGCUGGCUGCUGUUGGCCACCCCACCCGUUGCUACACCCCCUGGGGCCAAACACGAAGCAAAGCCGGGCUGUGGAGCCCCAGGACAUCACCCCUCCCUUGCCUUCCCUCCUGGUGGGUGGCAGAGGGACCGAACACAAGCAACGGAGCAAAAAGGGUGAGGGAGGGGAGCACGGGUCCUGGGGCUGAGGUCUGGGAAGGGGCUGUUUGGAUCUGGCUUGGAGAAAGGGAGGGAUCUCAGAUGAGGCGGCUUGGGGGGGGAGCCGUCAAACCCAGUUCUAGACCAUCCCCCCAAGCUAUGUACAUCCAUCUGUCAGAGAUGGCAUGAUGCUGGUUUGGGUUCAGCACCUCCCACGUGGGGCAUGCAGGGGGAGAUGGGCUGGAGGCUCAGGGCACUGGAGGUAGAAAGGAGCCCUCCCACCUUCCCCUUUCCCCUAAGCCAGGAAGGUCAAAGACACAUCUAAGGCAGCCCAGAUUCUAGCAUGGCCCGAGGCCGUGAAUACUGGGCUUCCCAAGGGGUGGUUGUGGUCCAGGCCCCCCGCCGACUACAGGCACUUCCCCAAUCC